GUAAGACUUAAGAGACUAUCUUACCCUCACUAUAUGGGAAUCACUGUCAAAUUAUACAUAUAUCUUCCAAUCAUGAAAGCAAAAGGAGUUUGGAUGCUCUUUUAAAGAUAGAAAAUUAUGCCUUAAUUUACAUCUUAAGUUUUCUAAGCAAUGCCAACAGAUGGGCAAGUUUCUGCUAUAAGGAUUCAUUCAUUGGGUCCGUUUUAUUCUUAUUGUGAGAUUGGUAGAACCCAACAGUUUAUGCAAUGGCUACACAUUGUUUUUCCUAGAGUUAAAUAUUGAUUCAGAAUUCUGAAGUAUAGAGGACUCAAAUAUGCUGAUUUAUAGAAACAAGAUUAUCAUUAAUUUAGAUCUUGUAAAAAAAUU
rnacentral:lncRNA from 1 species